rnacentral:rRNA from 1 species
AUUGCCUUAGUAACGGCGAGUGAAGCGGCAACAGCUCAAAUUUGAAAUCUGGCUUCGGGCCGAGUUGUAGUUUGAAGAGGAUGGUCUUGGGGUUGCCUCUUGUUUGAGUUCCCUGGAACGGGACUCCUCAAAGGGUGAGAGCCCCGUAAAGGGUUGGACACCAAGCCUGUUGAAGCCCUCGACGAGUCGAGGAGUUUUGGAAUGCUGCUCAAAAUGGGAGGUAAUUUUCUCUUAAGCUAAUAUCCGGCCAGAAACCCAUAACGGACAAGUCAAGGAUCGAAGAUGAAAAGCACUUUUGAAAGAAGGUUAAAAAGUACGUGAAAUUGUUGAAAGGGAAGCGUUUGAAACCAGACUCGAUAUUUGGUGAUCACUUGCCUUCUUGGGGGGUUGACCCCCUGCUUAUCGGGCGAGCAUCGGUUUGGGGGGGGGGAUAAUGGCUUCACGAGUGUGACUUUCUUCGGUGAAGAGUUAUUUCCUGUUCAGAAUGCCUGCCUAAACCGAGGUUCGCGCACCUGCAAGGAUGCUGGCGUAAUGGUCGCAAACCGCACGUCUUGAAACACGGA